UCCCAGGUGGCUCAGUAGGUAAAGAAUCUGCCUGCAAUGCAGUUGUUGCAGCAGGUUCAAUUCCUGCUUGGGGAA
rnacentral:tRNA from 1 species